rnacentral:rRNA from 1 species
UACGUAGGGUGCGAGCGUUAAUCGGAAUUACUGGGCGUAAAGCGUGCGCAGGCGGUUUGUUAAGACCGAUGUGAAAUCCCCGGGCUUAACCUGGGAACUGCAUUGGUGACUGGCAGGCUUUGAGUGUGGCAGAGGGAGGUAGAAUUCCACGUGUAGCAGUGAAAUGCGUAGAGAUGUGGAGGAAUACCGAUGGCGAAGGCAGCCUCCUGGGCCAACACUGACGCUCAUGCACGAAAGCGUGGGGAGCAAACAGG